CUUACACCUGUGGAGUCUGAGGGCCUGUAUUUAUUCACAGAACAGGUUCAGAACAGACAGUGGCAGCACAAGCUUUCCUCACAUUGCCUUAAACCUGAGCUGGGUGGAUCAUCUCUAGGAUAGUGAAGGUAGUUCAGUUUCAAUAGCCCCCUUCAAUCACUGGUAUGU
rnacentral:sRNA from 1 species